GAUGAACGCUGGCGGCGUGCCUAAUACAUGCAAGUCGAGCGAAUGGAUUAAGAGCUUGCUCUUAUGAAGUUAGCGGCGGACGGGUGAGUAACACGUGGGUAACCUGCCCAUAAGACUGGGAUAACUCCGGGAAACCGGGGCUAAUACCGGAUAACAUUUUGAACCGCAUGGUUCGAAAUUGAAAGGCGGCUUCGGCUGUCACUUAUGGAUGGACCCGCGCCGCAUUAGCUAGUUGGUGAGGUAACGGCUCACCAAGGCAACGAUGCGUAGCCGACCUGAGAGGGUGAUCGGCCACACUGGGACUGAGACACGGCCCAGACCCCUACGGGAGGCAGCAGUAGGGAAUCUUCCGCAAUGGACGAAAGUCUGACGGAGCAACGCCGCGUGAGUGAUGAAGGCUUUCGGGUCGUAAGACUCUGUUGUUAGGGAAGAACAAGUGCUAGUUGAAUAAGCUGGCACCUUGACGGUACCUAACCAGAAAGCCACGGCUAACUACGUGCCAGCCGCCGCAGUAA
rnacentral:rRNA from 1 species